UACAGAGGUCUCAAGCGUUGUUCGGAUUCAUUGGGCGUAAAGGGUGCGUAGGCGGCGCGGUAAGUCGGGUGUGAAAUCUUGGAGCUUAACUCCGAAACUGCAUUCGAUACUGCCGUGCUUGAGGACUGGAGAGGAGACUGGAAUUUACGGUGUAGCGGUGAAAUGCGUAGAUAUCAGGAGGAACACCGAUGGCGAAGGCAGAUCUCUGGGCCGUAACUGACGCUGAGGAGCGAAAGCGUGGGGAGCGAACAGG
rnacentral:rRNA from 1 species